rnacentral:pre_miRNA from 12 species
UUUUAUACACAUGUGUGUCUGCACAUGUGUGUGAUACACACACAUGUGCAGACACAUAUGUAUAUAUAGU